AUGGCGGCGGAUGAGGAGUCGGCGAGCAAGGGGAUGGCCGGCCAUGAACAUGAAGGGUGCUCGUCGAUGGCCGGUCAGUGGUGCCGGUGCGCCACCAAAAGGAAGGCCGAGAAGGCUGCGGCGGCUGGCGAGGAGUGUCCGCUGAAGGUGUGCAAAGCGGAGGCGGCGCCGGAAGUCGCCGCAGAUUCGUUGAAGCCGGCAGUGGAGGCCGUACGCGAGAAAAGGUUGACGCGGCUGACGCAGGAAGAGAUCAAUUGGACCCUUGCCUUUGUGGUGGAUGGUCCUGUCUCCCAUCACUACGAGUCCCUGAGGCGCGAAAACCCCAGCUUGGUGCCUUCACCGGAGGAGCAGAUGGACAGAGACUCGCCAAGUACCACGCACUUGUCCGGGCUGAGUAUGAGAAGCGCGGCUACGUCGAGGUCGACGACAACUUCCUCGUUGGAUGGCAAAGGAUUCUCCGGCCCUGAGAAUGAGGAUUUACUUUCAUGCACAUCUUUGUUAUCUGUCCAAGUGUCCAUGCACAGCUCUGUCGACUUGAUGUGCUGA
rnacentral:rRNA from 1 species